rnacentral:pre_miRNA from 1 species
AUCAUGUGGAGAUCUUGUUAAAAUGCAAAUUCUGAUACAGUAGGUCUGGGUAAGGCCUGAGAUUCUGCAUUUCUAACAUGUUCCCACAUGAUACCAA